rnacentral:misc_RNA from 1 species
CUAAGGAUAAAGUUAUCAUCUUCAGUUUUGAGAGACUUAAGAAAGUUUUUCAUUUUUUAAGAUUC